UUGAUACAACAGUCAACUGUUGUGAUGUCACAGGACUCAACUUUUGCCAUUUUAGGUGGGGGUGCUGGGGUGGAGAAUGUGACAGAGGACAAGAAUAGAAUACAGUUAUAGAACUGGAAUUCGCUUUUUCAUGCUAAUUUCCCUGAAUAUGUUCCAGAGGACAAGGACUGUGUUGUUCAUCGCAGUAUUCCAGAACUUAAAAGGAACUGGCACAUAAUUGGAGCUUACUAAUAUUCGUCAAAAAAAUGAACAAAUGAGGCAAUGACA